rnacentral:rRNA from 1 species
UACGUAGGUGGCGAGCGUUAUCCGGAUUUAUUGGGUGUAAAGGGUGUGUAGGCGGGAUGGCAAGUCAGAUGUGAAAAUUAUGGGCUCAACCCAUAACCUGCAUCAGAAACUGCUGUUCUUGAGAGUCGGAGAGGUAAAUGGAAUUCCAGGUGUAGCGGUGAAAUGCGUAGAUAUCUGGAGGAACACCGGUGGCGAAGGCGAUUUACUGGACGACAACUGACGCUGAGACACGAAAGCGUGGGGAGCAA